UCCUUUGAAGAGAUUCCAGAGUGUUCUCCUCUCCUUGACAGAAGCUCAGAAAAUAGAUCAUAUGGACAUCCAGCAAGAUGACCACUGACACGUUCAAAAGAGGAGCCUUAGAUGACACUGGCCAUGUUGGCAUUCUGAGGCUCUGUUUUCAGCUUAUUGAACUUUCCAUCCUCAGAUUAACCCCUGAAAUGGGAGUUUAUAAUUUUUAUUUAUCUUCACAUGUCAGAUGAAGAAAUAAAGAGCCCGAGCCCUCUGGACAUGAAAUCACACCCCUUCAACUUUGCUUCCUUGUUGAAAGAGACAGUAGCCUUUGCAUGGAUGUUCUUUUCAUCUUUACAGAUGGAGCAAAUGGUAGACUCAUUCAAGUCAUAAUGGCAGGCAACCUUCACGGUUUUCUUGCCAUUUUUGAUCAUAUCCAAGAGUUUCACUUCCUGGACAGUAAACAUCUUCCUCUGGCACUUAGGUUCAUUUUGUCGGAAGGUUAAGAAGCAGCAGCACAUUUAAGAGCCAUCGUGAGGCUUAGAUAAAGGUGCUCAGAAAUCGCAAACACAAGAACAAAGAUGUUUCCAUUUGCAGCAAUGUAGAAGUGUGUAUGAGGGAAGCACGCUCUGAUGGGCUUGGUUUCUCCACACCCGAUUUCAAACACACACAAAGAGUGGCCGAUUGGCUGAAGUUGGAGGAUUUGUGGGGGUGUUGGAAUGCAUAGGCCUGCAGUCCAUAUGGACAGUCAUUUUGAUUUUAAUUGUAAUACAGGGAUGUAUAACUGACUCAGACAACGGAACAUACGCUCUAUCAUUUUCACUGUCUUGAUCAAGUUUUUAAUAAAUAUAUUUGAAAAAAACUGUGAUAAAGUGAAGCCACGAAAGUUGAAGCGUGAUGUGGCAAGGGACGACUGUAUACCCAAGUGCUCACUUAAAGUUUAUCUUGUAGUGGGGGUUGUAUUGUUAAAUGGGAAACUGGGGAAUGUUAUACAUGUACAAACUAUUGUAUUUACUGUUGAAUGUAAAACAUUAAUUCCCCAAUAAAGAAAUAAAUUAAAAAAAAUUCAUCUUGGAUGCACACCUGCAUCAUCAGUGAAACAGAAAAAGAACAGGUUGUUCUUCCUGUGGAGUCACCUGUGCCAGCCAACCACAACUUGAGA